GUCUUGGUAGCUCAGAUGGUUGAGCACUGGGCUAGUGACCCAGUAGUCGUGAGUUCAACUCUCACCGAAAACA